rnacentral:rRNA from 1 species
CGGGAGGCAGCAGUGGGGAACUUUCGGGAAGCAGCAGUUAGGAAUUUUGGGCAAUGGGGGAAACCGAGAAGCAUCCACGCCGCGUGGAGGAUGAAGGUCUUCGGAUUAAAAACUUCUUUUGAUCGGGGCGAUUAUGACGGUACCUGAGGAAUAAGGCCCGGCUAAAAUCGGUCCCGCCAGCCGCGUUAUUACGAGGUGGGGAAGCUUGUUUCUGAUUACUGGGCGGAAAACGCGGCAGGCGGUCCCGAAAGUCGAUAGUGAAAUCUCUCGGCUCAACUGAGAGUCCGCUGUCGAAACUUCGGGGCUUGAGUGUGGGAGAGGAGAGUGGAAUUCCCGGUGUAGCGGUGAAAUGCGUAGAUACCGGAAGGAACACCAGUGGCGAAAGCGAUUCUCUGGUCCGCCACUGACGCUCAGGCGCGAAAGCUAGGGGAGCGACCGGGGCUAGAUACCCCCCGAGU